GGCACUGUCUCUUUCCCUACACCCUCCGCCCCCAAAUUAAGAUUUCCCAUUUUACCCGGCAAAAGAAAUAUAAUUAUAAGCCUCUCUGGACAUUGUUCCUCCCCCAACCUCACCACUUGGACAAUAUUUACUUAAGCCCCCCCCCCCCAUACACACGUUUCCCCACACUGAUUUCCUUAAAUUCUUCCAGUAGAUUGUUUUUUGUUUUUGUUUUUGUUUUCUUCCCCUCUCAAGAAAGGAAAGAGAAAGUCCGUGGCCACUAUUUAAGUUGUUCUAAAUGAUCGUGUCCUUUUUGGCUUCGAAACUUUUGUACCUAAAAAUCGAGGGAGGCGCUGCAUUCUUUCAGCUCAAACUGUCAAAACUUGGAGAAGGGGAACCUCGGAGGCAGGCCGGAGAAGAGGAGAGCCCUGAAACUCCGCGGGGUGGGAAGACGCUGUGCCUCGAGGAUUAGUUUAAACAGCGGGCUAUAAAAGAUGUAACAGAUGCAAACUGUAACACAAGGGCCAUUAACCCUUUCUCUGCCGCCCAGCACGCCCAGUCCCUACACCCUGCACCUAUUGUCUCCGGUGCCACAAGCUUUGCGGAAAACCUGGAAAUUUUGGCCAGAAAUGGUGAGAAGAAAAAGCAUGAAGAAGCCGCGAAGUGUGGGGGAGAAAAAGGUGGAGGCGAAGAAACAGCUCCCGGAGCAAACUGAACAAAACCUCGCCAAGAGUGUCUGGAGGCAGGACCGUUAUUCCUGCCGAGCAGGGGAGAGAAGAGAGACCCUGAAACACGCGCCACCUAUCUUUGUGGGGAGGGAUAAUUGAAGCGCCCUGAGCGUGAGCAUCAUGUGAAAACGUGAUCGCCAAGUUUCUCUCUGGGAAAGGAUCUGGGAUAGAUUAUACCUUGAAGUCUCCGCAAACGCUUUAGUGGAAGAAAUGAAAUUCCACCUCCCUCCCUUCCUCUCUCCCUCCCUCCCUUCUCCACGCCCCCCCCCCCCCCCCCCCCCCCCGUCAAGCAAGCCUUUGGCAUCAUUAUCCUCAUCACUAAAUCCUGCAGAGUACUGGGCGGAAAACGGUGCACACCAUUCACAGAACUGGAGAACUCCAAGGGGCGAAAGUUAAAGGGAAAGCUCUCGGGUCUUCCAUGCAGAUCUCUUGUCUUAUACAGAUAUCUCUGGUGACUAGGUUUGAGGUGCACGUCAAGUUGUAUGGAUACCUCAAGCACCGUUUUUGGAACUAAAUUCUUGCCCUUUCUCUUAUUACAUUUUUUUUUUUAAAGAUGCCAGAGCUAGGGGAGGGAAAUGCUACUUGUACACUGCAUCUUAGGAUCUCAGUGUGCAGUGUAUGUGUGUAUGUGUGUGUGUGUGUGGGGGGGAGAUUUUCUGGAUUGGAUCCCUAUAUUAAAAGUUUGGCAUUUUAAUAAAGGGUCUCUAGGUUAACAUAGAGCUGUACUAUGCUGGCCAAUCUCUGGACCCCUCUACACCUCAUGCAGACCACAUUACAAAGUGAGGGGACAGGGGCAGGAGGAAGAAGGAGAAAGGUCAGAGGAACUUAGGACGAAAGAAAGAAGAGGGUGACACUAAACUGUGUGGGGUCUAAGUUUUGAAGUGCAUAUUUUUGAUAUUGCAAUUAAACUAAAAUUAAAAAGAAAAGACUCCACCUUUGCUCUGAAGGGAUUGGUUAUGCAAAUAUGGAAGGGAUUUCCUGGAGAAUACAGCUUUCUACUGUAUGGUUAAUUAAAUAAUCACUCAAAAA
rnacentral:lncRNA from 1 species